UACGUAGGGGCCUAGCGUUGUCCGGAUUUAUUGGCGUAAAGAGCUCGUAGGCGGUUUGGUGAGUCGGGUGUGAAAUCUCCACGCUCAACGUGGAGGGCCACCCGAUACUGCCAUGACUAGAGUCCGGUAGGGGAGUGUGGAAUUCCGGUGUAGCGGUGAAAAUGCGCAGAUAUCGGGAGGAACACCAGAGCGAAGGCGACAGCUCU
rnacentral:rRNA from 1 species